rnacentral:rRNA from 1 species
GCAUUUCUCCAUAUUACUCUGAAUGUGCCCAAUCUCGUCUGAUCUCAGAAGCUAAGCAGGGUUGGGCCUGAUUAGUACUGGGAUGGGAUUCCACCUGGGAAUACCGGGUGCUGCAGGCU